rnacentral:rRNA from 1 species
AGAGCGAACGCUGGCGGCAUGCUUAACACAUGCAAGUCGCACGGGCAGGGGCAACUCUGUCAGUGGCGGACGGGUGAGUAACGCGUAGGUAUCUAUCCUUGGGUGGGGGACAACUGUGGGAAACUACAGCUAAUACCGCAUGAUGACCGAGGUCUAAAGGCGUCCGGGGUAACCUGGUGCGUCGCCUGAGGAGGAGCCUGCGUACGAUUAGCUAGUUGGUGGGGUAAAGGCCUACCAAGGCGACGAUCGUUAGCUGGUCUGAGAGGAUGAUCAGCCACAUUGGGACUGAGACACGGCCCAAACUCCUACGGGAGGCAGCAGUGGGGAAUAUUGGACAAUGGGCGCAAGCCUGAUCCAGCAAUGCCGCGUGUGUGAAGAAGGUCUUCGGAUUGUAAAGCACUUUCGACGGGGACGAUGAUGACGGUACCCGUAGAAGAAGCCCCGGCUAACUUCGUGCCAGCAGCCGCGGUAA